AUUGAACGCUGGCGGCAGGCCUAACACAUGCAAGUCGAACGAGUGGCGGACGGGUGAGUAAUGUCUGGGAAACUGCCCGAUGGAGGGGGAUAACUACUGGAAACGGUAGCUAAUACCGCAUACCAUCAGAUGUGCCCAGAUGGGAUUAGCUAGUUGGUGGGGUAACGGCUCACCAAGGCGACGAUCCCUAGCUGGUCUGAGAGGAUGACAAGCCACACUGGAACUGAGCCACGGUCCAGACUCAUACGGGAGGAGGCAGUGGGGAAUAUUGCACAAUGGGGGAAAGCCUGAUGCAGCAAUGCCGCGUGUAUGAAGAAGGCCUUCGGGUGGUAAAGUAAUUUAAGCGGGGAGGCGUUACCCGCAGAAGAAGCACCGGCUAACUCCGUGCCAGCAGCCGCGGUAAUAC
rnacentral:rRNA from 1 species